ACGGGAGGCAGCAGUAGGGAAUAUUGCACAAUGGGGGGAACCCUGAUGUAGCAACGCCACGUGUGGGAAGAAGCAUUUCGGUGUGUAAACCACUGUCGUGAGGGAAUAAUGCUUGAUUUCGGUCAAGUUGAAUGUACCUCGAAAGGAAGCACCGGCAAACUUCGUGCCAGCAGCCGCGGUAAUACGAGGGGUGCAAGCGUUGUUCGGAAUCACUGGGCGUAAAGGGAGCGUAGGCGGAGACGCAAGCAGUCUGUACAAUACCGGGGCCCAACCCCGGACCUGCAGACUGGACUGUGUCUCUUGGAUAGUUCAGGGGCAGGCGGAAUUCCUGGUGUAGCGGUGGAAUGCGUAGAGAUCAGGAAGAACACCGAUGGCGAAGGCAGCCAGCUGGGGGCUUAUCGACGCUCAUGCUCGAAAGUGCGGGUAGCAAACAGGAUUAGAUACCCUGGUA
rnacentral:rRNA from 1 species